CACCAGUAAAGUCCUGUCUGUGACACAUGGAUGUGUUCGUUGCUCUCAGCAACUUGAUGUGUGGGCAGGACUUCACCCUUGUACCAGAAGUAUUUCCAAGAUCGUGAUGGUUUCACCGAGCAGAUGUAAUGCUGACCCCUGAACCCAACUGGCAACGAAAAAACAAUAACAAGUUUUUUGAAUGGGCAGUCUGUUAUCUUCAUCUGUAAUGUGAGCAGAGAGGACACCUUGUCCUUGUAAAUGUCAGAUUGGCAGAAGUGCAGUAAAAAUGUCUCUAUUACUGUAUUAGAAACCUGUGAGGUGUGGGCUGUUACCUACGGAGCUGGACUCGGACAUUCUACACCUUCUACUGCUGUUUGUGAAUUUGGAUUAUUCAUCUCUGACUGUGGCACGGUUCCUAACCUUCCUAACACCUGCCUCUGUGAGAAUUCUAGACCGAACAUUGGACAAGCUAUUUGGAUUGCCUGACUCCCAAGCCCAGUGGUAUGACCCUCCUGAAUUUCUCUGCUCAAGUGAUCAAGUAAGCAAAACUUCUGGAGCUAUAUGGAUGUACUUCCGCCCCAGAUCAGAACUAACUCUUGCCUCUUUCUUCAGUGGACCCGAAAAACCUUCCAACCCUCAUUCCAGUAGAACUCACCUUGUGUGUUUAAAUAAACCUUUGAAACUUG